rnacentral:rRNA from 1 species
AACGUAGGACGCGAGCGUUAUCCGGAGUUACUGGGCGUAAAGGGCGGGUAGGCGGGUCGACCAGUUGGGUGUGAAAUCUCCCUGGCUUAACCGGGAGGGUGCAUCUGAGACUGUCGAGCUGGAGGGCAGCAGAGGAGCGUGGAAUUCCGGGUGGAGUGGUGAAAUGCGUAGAGAUCCGGAGGAACACCAGAGGCGAAAGCGGGGCUCUGGGCUGCACCUGACGCUGAACCGCGAAAGCCAGGGGAGCGAACGGG